AAGACCAUACUUUCAGGGAUCAUUUCUAUAGUUCAUUACUAGUGAAGUUUCUCUGACUGUGUAGAGUACCGGAAACCACGAGGAAGAGAUGCAGCGUUCUUUCCUGAGCGUGAAGCCGGCUUUUGGUGUUGCUUUACUGCAGCUGCCAUCUGCCACUGAUGAAUGUUCUUAUUCCUUUUUGAGGUGUAAGAGGGAGAAAACAAAAUCUGAGUGGUU
ensembl:snoRNA